rnacentral:rRNA from 1 species
UAGAUAUCAGGAAGUACACCGGUGGCGAAGGCGGCUUCCUGGUCCGAUUCUGACGCUGAGGCGCGAAAGCGUGGGGAUCGAACAGGAUUAGAUACCCUGGUAGUCCACGCUGUAAACGAUGGGUACUAGGUGUUGGUCCUUUUUAGGAUCAGCGCCGCAGCUUACGCAUUAAGUACCCCGCCUGGGGAAUACGACCGCAAGGUUGAUACUCAAAGGAAUUGACGGGGGCCCGCACAAGCGGUGGAGCAUGUGGUUUAAUUCGAUGCAACGCGAAGAACCUUACCUGGGCUUGAACCGUAGUCGAAAACCCCUGAAAAGGGGUCCUCCUUCGGGACGGCUAUAGAGGUGCUGCAUGGCUGUCGUCAGCUCGUGCCGUGAGGUGUUGGGUUAAGUCCCGCAACGAGCGCAACCCUUGCCCUUAGUUGCCAUCAGGUUAUGCUGGGAACUCUAAGGGGACUGCCCCGGAUAACGGGGAGGAAGGUGGGGAUGACGUCAAGUCCUCAUGGCCCUUACGUCCAGGGCUACACACGUGCUACAAUGGCCGGUACAAUGGGCAGCGAUACCGCAAGGUGGAGCAAAUCCUUAAAACCGGUCUCAGUUCAGAUUGCAGUCUGCAACUCGACUGCAUGAAGUCGGUAUCUCUAGUAAUCGCGGAUCAGCAUACCGCGGUGAAUACGUUCCCGGGCCUUGUACACA